AUGGGGAAGGUCAAAAAAGGAGACCGGAUGGAGGUGCUCGAGGCCGAGGAAGCUGGAGAUGCACAACUAGCUUCACUGGCCAUCCGGUGGUUGGAGCACGGGGCAACGCUCCAGUUGCGAUGGGGUGGAGCUGCGCAGGAGGGGAAGGAGGCUCGCGACAGGGAGCCGGGCCAGGGAGGAGGCAAGGAAUUACGUGGUUUUGGGUUUGUGAAAUUCCACCACCCUAAGGGUGUUGCAUAUGCUAACCAAGAAAUGAAUCAUCAAGUUAUUUGCGGUCGAGAGAUUACAAUGGUUUUUGCCGAGGAGAAUAGAAAACCCCCACAAGAAAUGCGCUUCAGAACAAGAUCAAGGUACAUACGUACUGUUUUUUACUUAGGCAUGUUAACUUUCAUCAGUUUGAUUUAUACUGCAGUGUAA
rnacentral:rRNA from 1 species